GAUGAACGCUGGCGGCGUGCUUAACACAUGCAAGUCGAACGGUGAACGAGGGAGCUUGCUCCCUCCGGAUCAGUGGCGAACGGGUGAGUAACACGUGAGCAAUCUGCCCUGGACUCUGGGAUAAGCGUUGGAAACGACGUCUAAUACCGGAUACGAGGCGUGGGGGCAUCCCCAACGCCUGGAAAGAACUUCGGUCCAGGAUGAGCUCGCGGACUAUCAGGUAGUUGGUGAGGUAAUGGCUCACCAAGCCUACGACGGGUAGCCGGCCUGAGAGGGGAACCGGCCACGCUGGGACAGAGACACGGCCCAGACUCCUAAGGGAGGCAGCAGUGGGGAAUAUUACGCAAUGGGCGCAAGCCUGAUGCAGCAGCGCCGCGUGAGGGACGACGGCGGUCGGGUUGUAAACCUCUUUUAGCAGGGAAGAAGCGAAAGUGACGGUACCUGCAGAAAAAGCACCGGCUAACUACGUGCCAGCCGCCGCAGUAAAAC
rnacentral:rRNA from 1 species